GGUGAACGCUGGCGGCGUGCCUAACACAUGCAAGUCGAGCGGUGCAGUUUGAAGCUUCGGUGGAAAGCUGCAUAGCGGCGGACGGGUGAGGAAAACGUAGGAACGUGCCCCUUGGAGUUGGAUAGCCACGGGAAACUGUGGGUAAACCGACAUAGACUCGAGAGAGUAAAGGCCGAAAGGCGCCAAGGGAGCGGCCUGCGGCCCAUCAGGUAGUUGGUAGUGUAAAGGACUACCAAGCCGACGACGGGUAGCCGGUCUGAGAGGAUGGCCGGCCACAAGGGCACUGAGAGACGGGCCCUACUCCUACGGGAGGCAGCAGGUGGGGGAUUUUGGACAAUGGGCGAAAGCCUGAUCCAGCGACGCCGCGUGGAGGACGAAGCCCUUCGGGGUGUAAACUCCUUUUCUCAGGGAAAAAGGAUGAUGGUACCUGAGGAAUAAGCCCCGGCUAACUACGUG
rnacentral:rRNA from 1 species